rnacentral:rRNA from 1 species
AGAGCGAACGCUGGCGGCAGGCCUAACACAUGCAAGUCGAGCGCCCCCGCAAGGGGAGCGGCAGACGGGAGAGUAACACGUGGGAACGUACCCUUCAGUUCGGAACAACCAAGGGAAACUUUGGCUAAUACCGAAUACGUCCGUAAGGAGAAAGAUUUAUCGCUGAAGGAUCGGCCCGCGUCUGAUUAGCUAGUUGGUGGGGUAAUGGCCCACCAAGGCGACGAUCAGUAGCUGGUCUGAGAGGAUGAUCAGCCUCACUGGGACUGAGACACGGCCCAGACUCCUACGGGAGCAGCAGUGGGGAAUAGUUGGACAAGUGGGCGCAAGCCUGAUCCAGCCAUGCCGCGUGGAUGAUGAACGGUCCCGUAGGGUUAGUAAACGUCCGUUUACGGGACGGGGAAAG